rnacentral:rRNA from 1 species
UACGUAGGUGGCAAGCGUUGUCCGGAUUUAUUGGGUUUAAAGGGUGCGUAGGUGGUCUAUUAAGUCAGGGGUGAAAUCCUGGAGCUCAACUCCAGAACUGCCUUUGAUACUGGCAAUCUCGAGUCCGGGAGAGGUGAGUGGAACUGCGAGUGUAGAGGUGAAAUUCGUAGAUAUUCGCAAGAACACCAGUGGCGAAGGCGGCUCACUGGCCCGGUACUGACGCUGAGGUGCGAAAGCGUGGGGAGCAAACAGG